UACAGAGGUCCCAAGCGUUGUUCGGAUUCACUGGGCGUAAAGGGUGCGCAGGUGGGCUGGUAAGUUCGAUGUGAAAGCCCCGGGCUUAACCCGGGAAAGGCAUUGGAUACUACUGGUCUGGAGGAUUGGAGGGGGGACUGGAAUUCUUGGUGUAGCAGUGAAAUGCGUAGAUAUCAAGAGGAACACCAGUGGCGAAGGCGGCAUCCUGGACCGGCAUUGACGCUGAGGCGCGAAAGCCAGGGGAGCAAACGGG
rnacentral:rRNA from 1 species